CCUAGGGUCCCAUGGCUGGAGGGGGGGGGGGACUCUGGCCAGGACACUUAAGCAUUCAUUUUAAUAAUACAUUUAAAAAUAAAUAAAUAAAUAAAUACAUUUUAAAUACUGCGGUGGUGGUGCCUUCUCCUUUAAGCAGAACCAUAUGUGUGUCGCCACUUCAGAAUUAGAAAGUAAAUGCAUUCCACACUUACAGGCAGAAUUUAAGCUAGACAUUCCUCUAAGAGCAAAGAUGGUGUGGUGAGCAGAUGCACAAGCUUGAAGAGGAGUAGAUGGAGAGAGAGCAUGGUAUCCAAGGACAUUCAGCAAUCCAAAGAUGAUGACAUGCGCAUGCAAGACCGCUGUUAGAAUCAUCCGACGAAGGCAGUGAUGAAUACAAUGAUGGUGAGGAACCUGGACCUGUCCCUGCUCAAGCCAUCCUACCUGCACUCCAUAGGAGACAUCCCCAUGGUCAUGACAGAGACUAUUUUUGGGAGGAGAUCAGGGAGGUCAUUACCAUAUAUAUGUUGCUCCACAUCAGCCCAGUCCCUUCAGUCAGUGGGUAUUGUCUGUGUGCUCCACUUUGUUUUGUUGCCAACAUGGUGACUGACAUUUAAUAGUUUGAACUGUAUAUGCACUCUUGUACAUGCAUACCCUGUGUCUGUCAUACUUAUUUGUGUUAUUACCAUAUAACAUUUACUUUAGUUUUAAUGUGUGCAUGACACACAUUAACACAUUAUACUGUCCACACACAUUCAACUGUCCAUUAACCUGUUGAUAGUGCUGUAGUAGGCAGUCUAUAAACAUGUGUCUUACUGGGAUGACUGACAGACAACAUAUGUUGUCCAUAGUCCAACACUAGCAGCAUAUGUAAAACAUAAGAGAUGCACCAAGAUA